rnacentral:lncRNA from 1 species
ACCAUACUCAAUAUCUAUACUACCAUCAAUUCUACAUAUUCCAUUCAGUCAAAACAAAACGAAACUCUUCAUCCUGUACUCUACACAUUAGGUUCGGAAUCCAACAACUUCGAUCCAGACUCCGUCCCUACAUCAUCUGUAAAAAGAGAAAGAGUGAGUUCAUUUAACUCAGUAUGGUAAAACUCAAAAUACAUGCGUGAGGUGCAACAAUAUAAAACCCUAUGCCUCUACCAAUAGUUCACUACUGAACUCCAAUUUUUCCUCCUGCACCUACAACUCUACCUACCCUAGGUGUCCGUUCCUUGAUGGCACUCCAGGCGUACCAGUGGUAUCAUUCACUGCUAAGAUUUGGCAACCAUUAACACCUUUCGACCCCUAGUGGCCACGCACGCACACGAGUUUCAAUCAUUUUCGUCACCAACAGCGGCGACCAUCAUUCACCUAUCGAUCCCCUAUCAGGCCACACACACACACUCUAAUCCUUCUCUCCCGUCAUCACCAUCGGCAACCGUUCGCCAUCUCACGACCUAUACCAGGCCACUCACACACACCCGAUUUUUCUUCACUUGCGUCACCAACAUCGGCGACCGUUAGCCAUCUCUCGACCUAUACUAGGCCACUCACACACGCUCUGACCAUUCCCUCUCGUCACCGAUAUCGGCGACCACUAACCAUCUCUCGACUUAUACUAGGCCACGCACGCACACCAUUUUCAUUCAUUUGAUUUUCGUCACUAACAUCGGCGACCGUUAGCCAUCUCUCGAUCCAUACCAGGCCACUCACACACACUCUGAUCAUUCCCUCUCGUCACGGAUAUCGGCAACCAUAAACCAUCUCUCGACCUAGACCAAGCCACGCACGCACACCAUUUUCAUUCAUUUGCGUCGCCAACCUCGGCAAUCAUCGUCUACCUAUCGACCCCCGUCGACCACACACACACACAUCACUCCUUCUCGUCCACUGUCUCUCUCUCCGCCUGCUGUCUGUGACAUGUCCUAAUUGCCCCCACUCACCCCGUCAUUCUUCCCCCAAGGCUCCAGCUACCCCACUCCAUUUCCCCAAGCAUGUCACUCACCUGGUAGAUCUUUCCCUUCUCCAACAUUCACUCCCUGUCUCUCCUUAACUCUCUAUCGGGCUACAACCUCCCGCCACACCAUCACGCCACACCAUUCUUCUCACCUCACUCACCCCGCCGGUUCUACCCUUCCCAGCGUUUCCCCACUGCCUCUACCUAUCUCUUUCUCAGACUACGUCCUCACACCACAACAUCUCCCUAUCUCCUUCCGCGUUGCUCACACAGUCCGCUCUCUCCCACACUGCUUUCUCGCCUGUAUCGUCACCUUCUCUCUCUCUCCUCCUGUGAUUCUCACGCGGUCACUUCCUUCGUUCACGCACCUCUUUUCUCUCUCCCGACCUCCGCCCGUACUGUCGCCUUCUCCCUCUCUCCUCCCGCGAUCCUCACUCGGUCCGCUUCCUUCCACCCGCGUCACCACAUAUCCUCACCCAGCCUCUUCCGUAUACUCCUACCUCCGUAAGCCGUGGCCACGCACGCCACACAUCCAACCAUUUCACAGUCAAAUCAACACACACAUUUAGAGUUUGGUACCGUACCUCCCAUUUCCAUUUUUCCCUCUUUCAGCCGAAUCUGCUAUCACCGUCCGCGAUCUCCUCUUAUCUCCGCUCUGCUUCCUUUCUCCCUCCUUCUGGAACCUUCCUUCCUCUUCUCUCUCUCUCCCACUCCCCUUCU